GAGCAAAAGAAUCAAAACCACUGGAAAGCCAGGCUUUCUGGGACCAAUGAAGCAUACCUUUAUGAAUAGGUAAGUAAGUUGCCUGCUCUUAAUCUAGCCUUCAUCAAAUUUAACAGGCUGCUGAACUACGCCUCAGGGUGGAAAAUCUUUAUUGGAAGGACAACAGUUACUGCAACUCAGAAGGACAAGUUGCAGGCACCACCUGCAAUCCAGGAUCAAACCCCAACUCUACUGACAGCAGCACCUGCACUGAAGAGACUCCCUGACGGCCAAGGAAAUGACAACUAAUCCUAACAGAUAAAUAAAGCCAAGGGAAGGAGAUGGGGGAAGGAGAAGAAAAAAUCAGAUGUGGCUAGAUCUCUGUCAUCAUUGCCCCCACCCCUCAAUGUUCACCACAUGUCUGUAAAUCCUAGAGACUUCUGACUGAAUAUGAUUUUGAAUUCCUAACCCAUUAAAGACAAAAAAAAUCCUGCUUUUGGUAGGUGGCUUGUUAUUUUGAUUACUGAGCCAGAAAGCAGGGACGACAGGCCCCUGACCAAAACCAGGUAAGAGAUACCUCUGAAAAUGCAGAGCCUCAGUCUACCUAGGUAAUUAGCAAGAUGGUGGUGGCAGGGAAAUGGUAAAAGCUGAUGCUGCAUGUAAAAAGAGUUUUCCUCUUUCCUGCAAUACCAUACCGAUGAAUUUUCUGUAUUGCAUUAUGUUUCAUUAAUUUGCAAUCGUUCCACUAACAGGAAGACCAGAAUAAAUGUAUUAUAUAUUCUGGUAUAAUACAGGUAUUAAAAAAAAAAAAAAAGAAAAUAUCUUUCUGUUAUUAAAAAAAAAAAAAAAAGG